rnacentral:rRNA from 1 species
AUACGUAGGGUGCAAGCGUUGUCCGGAAUUAUUGGGCGUAAAGAGCUCGUAGGCGGCUUGUCGCGUCUGCUGUGAAAUCCCGGAGCUCAACUCCGGGCCUGCAGUGGGUACGGGCAAGCUAGAGUGCGGUAGGGGAGAUUGGAAUUCCUGGUGUAGCGGUGGAAUGCGCAGAUAUCAGGAGGAACACCGAUGGCGAAGGCAGAUCUCUGGGCCGCUACUGACGCUGAGGAGCGAAAGCAUGGGGAGC